rnacentral:rRNA from 1 species
CCUACGGGGGGCUGCAGUGGGGAAUAUUGGACAAUGGGGGCAACCCUGAUCCAGCCAUGCCGCGUGUGUGAAGAAGGCCCUCGGGUUGUAAAGCACUUUCAGUGAGGAAGAACGCCUGGUGGUGAAUACCCAUCAGGAAAGACAUCACUCACAGAAGAAGCACCGGCUAACUCCGUGCCAGCAGCCGCGGUAAUACGGAGGGUGCGAGCGUUAAUCGGAAUUACUGGGCGUAAAGCGCGCGUAGGUGGCUUGAUAAGCCGGUUGUGAAAGCCCCGGGCUCAACCUGGGAACGGCAUCCGGAACUGUCAAGCUAGAGUGCAGGAGAGGAAGGUAGAAUUCCCGGUGUAGCGGUGAAAUGCGUAGAGAUCGGGAGGAAUACCAGUGGCGAAGGCGGCCUUCUGGACUGACACUGACACUGAGGUGCGAAAGCGUGGGUAGCAAACAGGAUUAGAUACCCUGGUAGUC